UUCUGUUCUGAAAUGAUGUUCAUGAGCUCCAUUAUCCAGAUAUCAAGACAUUAAUGAGUGUGACACAAAUAAAUGUGAGGGAGGAUCAACUUGUUUGAAUCUCUAUGGAAACUACACAUGUUUAUGUCCUCCUGGAAAAACUGGGUUUGAUUGUAAAUCAGAAAUUGAUGAUUGUAUUAACGUAGUUUGUUUAAAUAAUUAUACAUGUAUUGAUCAAUCACUGUCAUUCAGAUGUGAUUGUCCUUUAGAAGGUUUUACACAGCCAUUUUGUC
rnacentral:lncRNA from 1 species